GUCGCCGCGUGCCGGCCGG
rnacentral:snRNA from 1 species